UACGAAGGGGGCGAGCGUUGUCCGGAAUCACUGGGCGUAAAGGGCGCGUAGGUGGCGCGGGAAGUCAACGGUGAAAGUUCGGGGCUCAACCCUGAAUCGGCCGUCGAUACUCCCGGGCUCGAGCACUGUAGAGGCAGAUGGAAUUCCGGGUGUAGCGGUGGAAUGCGUAGAGAUCCGGAAGAACACCGGUGGCGAAGGCGGUCUGCUGGGCAGUUGCUGACACUGAGGCGCGACAGCGUGGGGAGCAAACAGG
rnacentral:rRNA from 1 species